AAGUGGCCACUCUUAUAAACACUAAGCCAUGCCUUGUAUAACAAACCCUCUCUCCCCUUUCAUGUGAGGCUUCCUUUGCAUGGUUUUACUAGUGGGCAACCACCCUUUUGCCACCAACUUUUAGGGCAAAAGGGUGGUGAUGGAAGAGGUGGCUCUCGUCGUUGAUUCACCGGAGAUGGUGGCUUCCUUCAUGGAACUAUUGUCCAUUGAUAAGUUCUCUUGGUGGUGUUUUUUUGGUUGGAAAGGGCAACUUCUAUCCUUUGGCAUUUUGAUGGAGGAAAUGGUUAAUGAAAAAGAAGAGCAAUCUCAAGGAUAAGGCAGAUUAUUCAUGUUAAUCCUAUAGAUCUCUACUUAAUUACUAGUAAUAAUUAGUUGUUGAGUUUAAUUAUAAUGAAUAUUAUUGUUGUGUGUUUGUGAUCUAUUUUAGUUUAUGAUCAUGUUUGUGUACUAGGCCUCUUGGCCCAAAUAAAAAAGAGUAUUUGUGUUUGUAUUAUAAUGUUUGAGACUUGUAUGUUAUUUCAAAUUAUUGAUGAAUUUUGAUUGUGGUCCUA
rnacentral:lncRNA from 1 species